GUACUUGCUUCGGCAGCACAUAUCCUAAAAUUGGAACAAUACAGAGAAGAUUGGCAUGGCCCCUGUGCAAGGAUGAUACAUAAAUUCAUAAAGUGUUACAUAUUUUA